rnacentral:rRNA from 1 species
UGGGCGUAAAGGGCUCGCAGGCGGUUUCUUAAGUCUGAUGUGAAAGCCCCCGGCUCAACCGGGGAGGGUCAUUGGAAACUGGGAAACUUGAGUGCAGAAGAGGAGAGUGGAAUUCCACGUGUAGCGGUGAAAUGCGUAGAGAUGUGGAGGAACACCAGUGGCGAAGGCGACUCUCUGGUCUGUAACUGACGCUGAGGAGCGAAAGCGUGGGGAGCGAACAGGAUUAGAUACCCUGGUAGUCCACGCCGUAAACGAUGAGUGCUAAGUGUUAGGGGGUUUCCGCCCCUUAGUGCUGCAGCUAACGCAUUAAGCACUCCGCCUGGGGAGUACGGUCGCAAGACUGAAACUCAAAGGAAUUGACGGGGGCCCGCACAAGCGGUGGAGCAUGUGGUUUAAUUCGAAGCAACGCGAAGAACCUUACCAGGUCUUGACAUCCUCUGACAACCCUAGAGAUAGGGCUUUCCCUUCGGGGACAGAGUGACAGGUGGUGCAUGGUUGUCGUCAGCUCGUGUCGUGAGAUGUUGGGUUAAGUCCCGCAACGAGCGCAACCCUUGAUCUUAGUUGCCAGCAUUCAGUUGGGCACUCUAAGGUGACUGCCGGUGACAAACCGGAGGAAGGUGGAGAUGACGUCAAAUCAUCAU